rnacentral:rRNA from 1 species
GAUGAACGCUGGCGGCGUGCUUAACACAUGCAAGUCGAACGGAAAGGCCCAAGCUUGCUUGGGUACUCGAGUGGCGAACGGGUGAGUAACACGUGGGUGAUCUGCCCUGCACUUCGGGAUAAGCCUGGGAAACUGGGUCUAAUACCGGAUAGGACCACUUCUUGGAUGUUGUGGUGGAAAGUUUUUUCGGUGUGGGAUGAGCUCGCGGCCUAUCAGCUUGUUGGUGGGGUAAUGGCCUACCAAGGCGUCGACGGGUAGCCGGCCUGGGAGGGUGUACGGCCACAUUGGGACUGAGAUACGGCCCAGACUCCUACGGGAGGCAGCAGUGGGGAAUAGUGCACAAUGGGCGCAAGCCUGAUGCAGCGACGCCGCGUGGGGGAUGACGGCCUUCGGGUUGGAAACUCCUUUCGCUAGGGACGAAGCGUUUUGUGACGGUACCUGGAGAAGAAGCACCGGCUAACUACGUG